UAUACCCGAAUUAUAAGAAUUAGGCCCAUGUACCAAGCAGUUGUUUUACUUAACUGAAACUGCACCUAAAACUUAGGAUAACUAAGUGCCAACUACACUUUUAUUGUUGGUGUGUUUUCCAAGUUGCAGAAAGUAAUUUACUGUAAAUAUAAAUACCCUUUCCCAAAAAUGAGCUUCAGGCCUUGGUUGCUUUUAAGACCCUCCCUCGGUAGUUGCUAUAAAACCCUCACACAUUUCUAUUCAGCCAUUUAGCUCACACAAACAAGCACUGCUAAAAUGGAUCCAGCUGUGUCAUACAUUCAGAAUGACGGCAAGACUGUUUACCCUCCAGCUACAGUUAUUGAAGUUGGCCAGGACCCAACACUUGUGAAAGAUUAUGUUGUAUGGUCCAUUUUCAACCUUUUUCACAUGAAUUGCUGCUGCCUGGGAUUGAUUGCAUUGUUUUAUUCUAUUAAAUCCAGGGACCAGAAGCAUUCAAAGAACCUGACUAGCGCCAGAUACUAUGGUGAAACUGCUAAACGCUUCAACAUCGCCAGCACUGUCAUUUCUACAAUUGUUAUUGUCAUCUUUUUAGCCAUUUAUGUAACAGGCAUUAUUGCUGUGGUGCAAAGUGUCCAAAGGAGACCAUGAAGCUCUGAGAUAUCCAUACAGACUGUCAAAUUCAGUCUUUGUCGUUAUGGGCUUGUCAUUCCUUUUAAAAAUAAUGUCACCAUCAGAUAUAUUUUGUAUAUUUACUGGAUAUUUGCUUAGUACAAAAUACAUUAAGUACAUUUACUAUUAAAGUCUUUUAUACUUUUUAUUUUACUGAAAUGCAGUUAAUUUUUAGAUUUUUUUACAUGUGAUCAAUCAAACGUAUUAUUGUCUGUAGUGUAUAACCUCAUGUCAUUGAGACUAUUUGUAACAAUGUGAUAAGAACAUUAAUUCAUUGAAAUGCCAUAUAGAAGAGUAAAUCAGUCGAAGUAUUUUACACAGAGAAGUAAAGAAGAUUUCCAUUUGGCACAAACCAAGUAUGGUGUGAGCUAAUAAACUGGACAAUAACUGAUGAACUCAUAUAUUCAUAUAUAGAUUGCUGAACAAGAUGAAAUGCAAUUAGCAAAAUGGAUCUUUUACAAAAAAACCUGCACUAUUGAAAUGUAAUGUUCUAUUUCUGUUCCUUUUUUAACAUGAAAUAAAUACAUUUUCAAGCUAA